UGGAAGUUCCCUCAUGGAGUGCUUUGCCUGGGGUCUCGUGACCAGUGUGGCAGACAGUAAGUAAUGCUCCUAGGCUAUCACUGAUCACAGUUCUCAGGAUUUUGGGUGAGAUGCUUGCAGCAGAUCCAGUGGUGAGGGGUGUUCAGGGGGAUCCCUUAGCAUUUGGGGUUCCCUGGGAUUUGUGGAGAACCCCCGGCCCCCUAAGGAUCUCCCUGAACAUGCUGGCACUGCCCAUGUGCCAUGAGAAGGUUCAUACCCGGCAUGGGCUCCCCAUGCUCUGUCACUGGCAUCACCCAGGUACCCCUACAACCUCCCGGGAACCCCCAAUCUCCCCCUGGAACACUCCAACCUCCCCUGGGAUCCCAAAAACAUCCUCGGGACCCUCCAAAACCUCUCCAAGACCCCCAGACCCUCUCAGGACAUCAAAAUUCCCACAGGACUUCCCAACACUCCUGCAGAAUCACCUUGAGAAGAUUUAUACCUGGCAUAGGGUCCCCAUGUCCAUAACCAGCAGGUGUUCCAAAACAGCCUUGGGACCCCCAGUUCCACCCUAGGGAUUGCCCAAAUUCCCCUAUCAGGUCCUCUGAAAACCCCCCUCGGGAACUCCCAAAAUAUCACCAUGUCCCCAAACACCCCCUGGACCCACAAACUCCCGCAGGAAACCCUCACAAAGGUUUAUACCCAGCACAGGAUCCCCAUGGCCAUCACUGGUAUCACCCAGGUACCCCCAAACCCUCCCAGGACCCCCAACCCCCCCCGGGGCUCUGCUGCCAGAAGCAAAGGGAGUGGUAUUGCCCUUUUAAGGGGAGUUAUAAUGGGGCCUGACUAUAGCUGGCUCUUGAAGCAAUGAUGGUAGAGAGAACCCCAAAAAUCCACCCUGGGACAGCAAAACAUCCCUUUGUAGUGGGGCUUGUAGUGGGGGAACCCCUACAAAUGUCAGUUUAAACCAUCAUGCUCCCUCUUUAAAAGGGGCCUUUGGGGCUGCGGCCCCACAAACACCUUAAAAUGGGGAGGAAAAAGCACUCUUGUAGUGGUGGGAGCCCCAAAAAAAACUUGAAAAGAGAAAAACUCCUUUUCAAAGGGGCCUGAAGACCCUUAAGUGCCGUCAAAGAGGGACAGGAUUCCCUCCUCUGCUGGGGCCUCUCCGAGCCAGGAACUCUCCUGUUUGCUGCACUCAGGGGAGCCCUGAAUGACGAUGGGUCCUGGGCUGAGCCCCCCACUCGGCCGGGGGUGCGGAUGGAACUGGGGGGGGCUGGGACAGGGCUUGAGGGUCGUGGAGUUAACACUUCCCCCUGUCCGCCUUCUCCCAUCCCUUUCCCAUUGUUCCCCCCAAACCUCCACUCCCCCCAGCUCAGAUUGGGGGUGACCCUGAAAUAGAGACAUGGAGAAUUAAGAAUCAAGUGUUUUAACUAAAAGGGGGACUGACAACACUAUUGUUUGCUGUAAUUUACGGUGCUUUACAAGAACAGGAGGAGAGCAGGGCUACAAGGUGGAGUCAAGGGCUAGAAUGCACAAACAGGAUGCAAGGACAAAGACACCACAAUAUAAGGGGGUCCUCAGACCCCUGGGACCGGGACAACUGAUAUCAAGGUGCGGAAAAUGACCAAAGGACUAAAAAGAGCAUGCGCAAGGAGGCAAGGUGAAAGUUCAGACGGGGAGGAGGACUAUGUACUUCAUCCCAAACACUCCCAGACAACCACCAGAGAGACUAAUAAGGAAUAAUGUGCAGUUGCAAAGAGGUAUGAAACUAAUUUCAAUAUGAAGCGGGAGAGGCAAUGAAUAUGUAUUAGGCGAAUUAUGUAUUCCUAGUUUGUAGAGAAUAAAAAGAGAGGUGCAGGUCACCAAAGGUGUGCAUGUUUUUGGAGGAGCUAUUCCCCAUGCACUGAAUAAAUACAUACCUACUCUUAUAACUUAUUUUGUGGGUUAUAGAGUGAUUUUUCACGCUUCAUGUUGGUGAGCCAGCCAGGAGAGAGUCUGCCUGGCUGCGGGAGUGGCUGAGGGGCGGAUUCCCUGGCGUGCCCUGGGACCUUCCCUGAAGGGACCCCAAACCUCGGCUCUCUCACUGCGGGGACAGACAAAGACCUGCUGGCAUUGCGGAUAAAACUGUGUGUAUUAAAUAUCAAGAACGGGCUGCUCGUAAGUCAUACAGAGAUGUCUGAUGCACAGAGCAGUCCCGUGGGCUUACAAGCAGCCAAGGGGGCCGGAGACAGAGGGAGAGGAGUCGAUCACCAGCAAUAGCGCAGCUGAUGGAGGAGCCUCACUGAGCUGAUAGAGCAGCCCGCUUGUGACUCUGAGGAAAAACUUUGGAGCCACAGCGGGAAGGACCGUACCAGAUGCUCCUCACCACCUUCACUGCAGUUAAGAUCAAGGAACAGAGUGCCUGGAUUCACCACUCUCGAGUGAAAAAGGCUCCAGAAGCCCUUUGGAAAGUAACACUGGGUGACAACGAACUGAAAUGAAAACUUAAUCAAGCAAAAUGAGUACAUUGUGGUACAGCCUGUAGAAAUCUAGUCAAUAGAAUUGUUUUGGUUUUUUGCUUGUA